UGAAAAAUUAGCGGAUGACUUGUGGCUGGGGGUGAAAGGCCAAUCAAACCGGGAGAUAGCUGGUUCUCCCCGAAAGCUAUUUAGGUAGCGCCUCGUGAACUCAUCUUCGGGGGUAGAGCACUGUUUCGGCUAGGGGGUCAUCCCGACUUACCAACCCGAUGCAAACUACGAAUACCGAAGAAUGUUAUCACGGGAGACACACGGCGGGUGCUAACGUCCGUCGUGAAGAGGGAAACAACCCAGACCGCCAGCUAAGGUCCCAAAGUCAUGGUUAAGUGGGAAACGAUGUGGGAAGGCACAGACAGCCAGGAUGUUGGCUUAGAAGCAGCCAUCAUUUAAAGAAAGCGUAAUAGCUCACUGGUCGAGUCGGCCUGCGCGGAAGAUGUAACGGGGCUAAACCAUGCACCGAAGCUGCGGCAGCGACACUAUGUGUUGUUGGGUAGGGGAGCGUUCUGUAAGCCUGCGAAGGUG
rnacentral:rRNA from 1 species